UUUCCUGAGGGAUGGAGGACAGCUGUUGAACAAGACCACUCCUUCCUACUGGAAAUCCUCAAGACUAAGAAGAUGGGGAUAAAAGGUUGGCCUUGGAGUCAGGGAGAUGAGUUAAAAGUCUUGAUUCUGACACACACUGUGUUUAUGGCAUUUUAAAGAAAAAUGUUCAAAGAAAAAUGGGAGAAAAGCAGCACAAAAUUAACCAAUAUAAUCACCAUAUCUGACCAUAUGUGAAAUAUUCCACAACUCGCAUAGUCCUGUACCACUUCAAUGAAAAGAGAGAGAAAAAAUAAAAAUAACCAAGUCCUAGUUCUGGCUGGGACCAACAAGGCUCCGCAUCAUCAACAGCUCAAGUCCAUCAUGUCUCGUUCAGGAAGAAGACUCACAUGCUUUCUCCAUGGUCGUCCGACACUGGGGCUGGUCACCGCCUACCAUGAUCAGUUCUUGUCUUUCCAGGAUCAAAGUGAUAACAUUUGUACAACUCAGUGAAGUUGCUUAUUGGCUCUGGGAGGGGAGAAGUAAGAGGGGAGAG
rnacentral:lncRNA from 1 species